rnacentral:misc_RNA from 1 species
CAAAAAAAAAAAAAAAAAGAGCUCAGUGCUAGUUGAUGGUCGAAUCUGGUGUAGAUGUGAAGAAAGAAGAAAUCAAUAUGAGCAAUUGACUGUUAAUCUACGUUGUAAGAGAGCUAUUAUUGGCUGCUGGUGAUGGUUGAGAGAGAGGGAGCAUUGAUAGUGAGAAAGCAAUAGAGCUGAGGAUUAAAAUUUUGGGCUUUGAGAAAUAAAUGAGAUUUUACUGAACUCGAUUUGCAUUUUUAAACAAGAAACCGUAAAGUUACUGAACUUAAUGUAGUUUUUGUAGGGUUAUUCAGUAAUUUUUUUAUUUUAUUUCUUUAUAUAAGGUUGUACCUUCAAAAGGCAUAUUUUGGCUUUGGUUGAAUUAACUAUUUUUGCUGUAAAACAAUAGGGUUCUACAUCUUAAAAAAAAAUCAUCUACUUUGCGAGAUAAAACUGAUGGAGUAGUAGAAUGCUACCCUAUUCCAACACCCUCCUCUGAGUCUUUAUGGAUUAGAGAAUCUGUAUGAGAUAAAUUGAACUGAAAAAUGAAAGCAGAGAUCCACUGGACUACUGAGAGGGAGACGAACAAUUUCAACACAAUAAGAAAAUCUGUUACCCUUUUCCUGGACUUGUAUCUUUGCAGUUGCAAUUUUUUGUAUCUUGAAUGUCAAAUGUGUUGUACUCUAUGCUUUUCUUUUGUGGAAACCAACAUUUUACUUGAUGGUCUAAACUAGUUUAGGUGUCAUGGCUAGUAACACGAUCUAGUUUUUGCAGGUUCAUCAACUUUAACCUGGACCAAAAAGUUGGACAUCAGUAGCCAAUCCUCAUAGAUAAUGACUUUUUCCUCAUUCUUGUUGACAAGUGAUUUUCAUUCAAUUAUAUAGAUAAUAUGCCAUAAAAUAAUUCCCUUUCACCCUGUGGCAUACCAUCACAAAAUGAUAAAAGUGAUAAUAUCUCUCUAAACCUCUGCUUGAAAUUCUUUUUGUACAAAUAAGGUGUGCUCAAUGAAUUAUAUCCAGCACUAAAAGUUUAAUUGCAUUUUUAUCUGACAUCACUAUUUUCUCAG